rnacentral:rRNA from 2 species
UCAUUAGCUUGCUUUUGAAGAUCAGCGGCGGACGGGUGAGUAACACGUGGGCAACCUGCCUGUAAGACUGGGAUAACUUCGGGAAACCGGAGCUAAUACCGGAUAAUCCUUUCCCUCUCAUGAGGGAAAGCUGAAAGACGGUUUCGGCUGUCACUUACAGAUGGGCCCGCGGCGCAUUAGCUAGUUGGUGAGGUAACGGCUCACCAAGGCGACGAUGCGUAGCCGACCUGAGAGGGUGAUCGGCCACACUGGGACUGAGACACGGCCCAGACUCCUACGGGAGGCAGCAGUAGGGAAUCUUCCGCAAUGGACGAAAGUCUGACGGAGCAACGCCGCGUGAGCGAUGAAGGCCUUCGGGUCGUAAAGCUCUGUUGUCAGGGAAGAACAAGUACCGGAGUAACUGCCGGUACCUUGACGGUACCUGACCAGAAAGCCACGGCUAACUACGUGCCAGCAGCCGCGGUAAUACGUAGGUGGCAAGCGUUGUCCGGAAUUAUUGGGCGUAAAGCGCGCGCAGGCGGUUCCUUAAGUCUGAUGUGAAAGCCCCCGGCUCAACCGGGGAGGGUCAUUGGAAACUGGGGAACUUGAGUGCAGAAGAGGAGAGCGGAAUUCCACGUGUAGCGGUGAAAUGCGUAGAGAUGUGGAGGAACACCAGUGGCGAAGGCGGCUCUCUGGUCUGUAACUGACGCUGAGGCGCGAAAGCGUGGGGAGCGAACAGGAUUAGAUACCCUGGUAGUCCACGCCGUAAACGAUGAGUGCUAAGUGUUAGAGGGUUUCCGCCCUUUAGUGCUGCAGCAAACGCAUUAAGCACUCCGCCUGGGGAGUACGGCCGCAAGGCUGAAACUCAAAGGAAUUGACGGGGGCCCGCACAAGCGGUGGAGCAUGUGGUUUAAUUCGAAGCAACGCGAAGAACCUUACCAGGUCUUGACAUCCUCUGACAACCCUAGAGAUAGGGCGUUCCCCUUCGGGGGACAGAGUGACAGGUGGUGCAUGGUUGUCGUCAGCUCGUGUCGUGAGAUGUUGGGUUAAGUCCCGCAACGAGCGCAACCCUUGAUCUUAGUUGCCAGCAUUAAGUUGGGCACUCUAAGGUGACUGCCGGUGACAAACCGGAGGAAGGUGGGGAUGACGUCAAUCAUCAUGCCCCUUAUG